rnacentral:rRNA from 1 species
UAAGGUGGAAGACUUGGCUUGAGACGCCGAUGAAGGACGCGACUAACUGCGUAAUGCCCCGGCGAAGCGUAUGUAGCUUUUGAACCGGGGGUUUCUGAAUCGGACUUCCGCAUAGAAACCGAAAGGUUGGGGAACUCAGGGAAUUGAAACGUCUUAGUACCUGAAGGAAAAGAAAUCAAUUGAGAUGCGGCUAAUUAAGGGCGACUGAACACCGCAAACGGCAAACCGAAUCUGGCAUGGAAACCUGUCAGAGAUGUGGGGUUACGGACCUCCUUUUAGGCCUCGCUUGGAAAUGUGAAGUGCACUGGAACGUGCCGGGAAACAGGGUGAAACCCCCGUAACAGUAACCGAGCAAGCCGUGGAGAGCUCCAGAGUACUGUUUCCUGGAAACGAAGCAGGAAUUUGGGAGGCACUAACUUCCAACCGUAAAUACGUAUCAAGACCGAUAGCGAACAAGUACCGUGAGGGAAAGUUGAAAAGUACCCGUGACAGGGAGUUAAAAGAACCUGAAACCUUAUAGACAUAGGAUGGCACGGCUCUAAGGAGUUGUGUCGUACGUUUAGAAUAACGUGCCAGGGAGUGUAUUUGAGUGGCAAGGUUAACUCUCUACGAGAGGAAGCCACAGCGAAAGCAACAAGCUCGCAAGCAAUGAGGAGCGCGGUGUGAAAGCGCCGGAAGUCACUUGAGUAUGUACCCGAAACCGAUCGAUCUAAUCCAGGGCAUGGUGAAGUGGGGGUAAAACCCUGUGGAGGCCAGAAGAGGUUCUGUGUACAAGCGUUCUUCUGACUUUGGAUUAGGGGUGAAAAGCCAAUCGAGAUCGGUUAUGGCUGGUUCCUGUCGAAGUAGGCGUUAGUCUAGCCUCGAGCGAGACCGCUAUGUUUGUAGAGCGACGGAUUGGGAAUUUAGGGGGAGCAAUCCCUCGGUUCCGUGUCCAACUCCGAAGAAUAUAGCGUCGUAGACCUCGGGAGACGGGGCAUAUGCGUAAGGUGUAUGUCCGAGAGGGGAACAACCCUGACUACAGUUAAGGUCCCAAAGUACUCAUUAAGUGUGAACGGGCAAAGGGAAUCUGCGUUCAGAGACACCGGGGAGGUAGGCUCAGAAGUAGCCACCCUUUAAAAAGUGUGUAACAGCUUACCCGCUAAGAGCGCGGGUCCCGAAGAUGGACGGGGCUAAAUGAGUCACCGAUACUGUAGACAACCCAAAAGGUUGUAUUAGGCAGGCGUGUUGUCCGGGCAGAACUUUCUCCGAGAGGAGGGAGGGACCGGGCAAUAAUGAAAAUCCUGGCGGUAGUAAGCACAUAGACAUGUGAGAAUCAUGUCCACUGAAAGGGCAAGGGUUCCUUGGCAAUGUCGAUCAGCCAAGGGUCAGUCAGUCCUAACUGAACACCUAAGUGGUGUCUGUGAGGAAAGGGAAUCCGGUUAAUAUUCCGGAACUAUUCAUGUAUGCGUGGCAACACAAGCUUUGUUUCAGACGCUUUUGGCUAGGCGGACGCAAAUUGUCUUUUGCGCUAAUUAAUACACAUCCAGGGAGUAUCGUUAUGAUGAGAACUGGAUGAAAGUUAAGAAUAGUUUCUCUAUGAGAAAUUCCGUUAAUGCCUGGAGUCCAUGAAAAUGGAAUAAAGAAAAAUCAUGAAUAUCUGUACCCAGAACCAGCACUGGUGCCCCUAGGUGAGAAGCCUAAAGUGUGAAGGACUAAUCUAGUUGAGGGAACUCGGCAAAUUAGCCCCCUGACUUCGGUUUAAGGGGUCCCUGCGUCCGUGCGCACAUGCGUGGCGGUUGCAGGGGGCACUGACUAAGAUGACCCGACUGUUUACCAAAAACACAACCGGCUGCUAAGCUGUAAAGCCUUGUAUAGCCGGUGACGUCUGCCCAGUGACGGUAUCCAAACACCCGGUUCAACGGGUUUAAGGACCGUUAAACGGCGGGAGUAACUAUAACUCUCUUAAGGUAGCGUAAUGCCUUGUCAUUUGAAUGGUGACGUGCAUGAAGGGCGUAACGAGGUCGUCACUGUCCCCAACUAGAACCCUCUGAACACUACAUUCUGGUGCGAAGUCCAGAGAUCUCCAGUGGGAAGCGAAGACCCCGUGAAACUUUACUGUAGCUUGUAGUUGUAACGCGAGGAGUAUUGUAUAGCGUAUGUGGGAGCUGAUUGAGGUGUAUUUCGUCAGAAAUGCAUUUAGGCAAAAAUGUAACACCACACCUUGUUUCUUGCGCUGCUCACUUCGCAAGAAGGACAGCUGCUGGCGGACAGUUCGGCUGGGGCGGCACGCAGAUGAAACAAUAUCAUUUGCGCCCUAAGGUCUACUCAGUCCGGUCAGAAAUCGGACGUAGAGUGCAAGGGCAUAAGUAGGCCUGACUGGAUCCCUAACAUGAGCGGAUCCAGGUACGAAAGUAGGGCCUAGCGAACCCCCGUACCUCCUUAGUGGGGGUCGGGUAUGACCGAAAAGUUACUCCGGGGAUAAUGGAGUCGUCGCGCCUGAGAGUUCACAUCGACGGCGCGGUUUGCUACAUCGACGUCGGCUCUUCCUAUCCUGGCUGGGCAGCACCAGCCAAGGGUGAAGGGGUUCACUUGUUAAAAGGGAUCGUUAGCUGGGUUCACAACGCUGUGAGGCAGUUGGUUUGAUAUCUACUGGAGAUGUAAGAAGGCUGAGAGGAAGGACUUUCUAGUACGAGAGGAACGAAAGUUCGGCGCCACUGGUGUACCGGUUGUCUGACAAGGCAGGCCGGGCAGCUACGCGCUACGGGAUAAGUUCUGAAAGCAUCUAAGAACGAAGCCCCCCUCAAAAAGAGCCUUCAUAGUGCA